GUUUGCCUGGAAACCGGGAAAGGGAAUAACACUUGAAAUGUAUAUAAGAAAUACUCAAGUUAAUAAAAAGAAUAAAUAAAUUUAGUAGAACUGGCAUGAAAUUUCUUGAUACAUAUACCUUUAUAAUUUUAAAAUUUUGCUUCUGUAUGUGUAUCUCGUUCUGUGAUGUGCAUAGAGUGCCCAUGGAGUUUAGGAAAGGGCAUCUUACCCCAAGGAGCUAGAUUUAUAGAGGUUUAUCAGCUCCCUGGUGAGCUGUCCAAACCUGGGUCCUCUGCAAGAAUACCAAGUGCUCUCAAGUUCUGAGGCAGCUCUCCCACUCCUAUACCACUUGUAAGGUCUACAUCUUCAUCUUACCGACAUUAUUAUUUAUUCCAGAAAUCCUUGAGGGUUUAUUUUAACCCAGGUAUUGAUUUGAAGAUAAAUUAAUAUUUUUCUCAUUUACAUUACCAUGCUGCCUUCAUGUUUGAAUGAAUGUAAUACAUUUUCUCAGUUCUACUUCAAGAGUAGUGAGUGGCUUAGAAUGGUUUAGCUAGUACAGAGUCUUGGCCAAGCUUCCACAGUAGAAUAAGAUGCAGCCUGAUUCUAUUGCUUAAUUAAGUGUUCCACAGGCCAGCACUCCUGCUUUCUUGAAUAUAAUGAAAUAAUUUUUUUUCAGUUAAGAUGAUGGAAUUUUCAGCCUUUCUCACAUGAAAAUGUCAGUGCCUUCAUGAAUGGAACAUCGUGUCUUGAGGCUGUUUUUGUUUUUGCUUUUGUUUGUUUGAUUUGGUUUGAUUUUUACUAUUAGAAUUAUUGAUUGUUGGUAGGCAAGUACAAUACACAUGUGACUGUUUUGAAAUAGAACUUAGAACUAUUCGAUAUAUAUAUAUAUAUAUAUGUAUAUAUAUAUAUAUAGUUAAUUUGAAGCAGAAAUCAUUGACAAUCCAAGCUUUGAGCCAUUACUGAAGGGAUCUAGUGCACAGACCUAGACAGUGAGACAAGGUGACUUUCACCCACUAACAUACACAAAAAUAGUGAUGUACAGGAGAAACAGAAAUUAUCUGGAAUCCAUGAUGUUCUCAUGUGUACUGCCCAGCAGACGGAAGUCACCAGUGACCCCAAUGAACCAAGAGACAACAGAGAGUGUCUGGCUGUAGGGCAGAACAGGCGUCCCAGGCGCUGGCACCAGAGGGAGUGAGAACAUUGGGCAAGGAGGGAGGACUAGCUCCAUCCCAGUAUUUCCUAGCAGACACACUGACCUUGGUGGAACUGCAGAAAUUAUCAGAGCCAUAAUAGGUGUGAGGCAGAGCCCUCAGGGUGAGUGAAGAUCUUUGCUUUUUCUGUACUUCUAAGAGGUAUGCCUGAGCCAAGCCGCCUGCCUCCAAAGACCCAGCUUCCAAUAUCCGUUGCUGAAGGGGACUAAGAUUAACCACAUUUUAGCAGGUUUAUGUCUAGCAUAAAUAGACUAGGUCAUUUAAAGGCAACCAAAGCAAACUGCAUUUGUUUUAUAAAUCAACAUGCACAAAGAGAGGCUGUCUUGACCUCCUUCAGCAUAUAUAAUGUGUUCAAAAUUUCAGCAUAUCUUCUAAUACAUGGGGUGAAGGAAAUAGAGGUGCCACUUCUCCCAAAACAGCACACCUGGACCACAACACUUAGGAGUUGUACUUGCUAGAGUCAGUAUUGCACUGUAAGGCACAAAAAGAUGUUGAAUUCUACCUGGAGCAUCUACUGAGAGACUGGGGUCAGCUUUAGAUUUUGAUAUUUACAUCGAGCUUGGGUAGAAUUCUAUAGCUUGAGGGAUGGGGAGAUCAGUUCAGGAGGGAAGUAUGUAAGAACAAGGUUUAAGGACACAUGGGUGUGUCAUGAUGAACCCCAGUGUGUCUUCAGUUAACUUUUUUUUUAUUAUUGGGAUAUAUUAAUUAUUCAUGCAAAUGGGUUUUGUUAGGACUUUUUUGUGCAUGCAUAUCAUGUAUUUUUAAUGAUAUCCUCUAUUACCUUCUCCCACCUUACUCCUGUGAAUCAACUUUUUCUUUUACCUGUUUGUCCUUUCCUCUCUCCUUCGGUUCUUCCUUCCCUCUCUACCUCCUUUCCCCUUCCAUUCCUUCUUCCUCUCUUUUUCUUCCUCUUUUCUUCCUCUUUUUGCCUGACUUACCAUUGCAUUUUAUUAGGGUUUCUGAUCAUUGGUUAGUAGCCCGUGUUGUUGAAACAAAGAAUUUUGCAUACUACAUUAAAAAUAAAUCACCUCUUUGUUCCCUUUAAAAUCACCCCCACCACUACUUUUAAAUAUGCAUAUUCUAAAGUAAGAUUGGUGAUGUCACAGUUGUUUUUGGUAUUUCACAGAUGGUCUCAAAACUUAGCUGCUUUCAGAAGAACAAAACAAAAUUUUCUGUCAUUCUAUGGCUCAGCCUUGAGACUGAGAUGCUGACUUACUCAUGGUCUCUUGAGGCCUGUGGCCAUAUAUAUUAGCAUUUGAGGGUUUCACAAGUUAAGAGUCAGAGGACUUCAGAUUGACUACAGCUGGCUCUACUUGGGAACGAGCGUGCCAUAUAUUGACCUGGGAGCUGAGCAUUCUACAAAAUCUGAAAUGAGACCAAGCUCUGAGCAGAAAUCAUAGGACUCAGUGCUAUGAACUGAGUUUACCAGAAAUACUGGAGUCAUCAGAGAAAAUGGAUUCUUUCAUUGUAGAAGACUAGGGAAAGUCUUUGGAGUGCUCUAGCAUGAUGAUUUUAACUGGGGGUAAGAGAGAUGCAUUCUGAAAAAGCAACAGAGAAUGAUGUUACAGAGCCUUUCAAGUGUUUGGAAAUAUUCAAAAGACGCUCUAGAAGUAGGAGAAAAAAAAGCAAAAAUCAUAUGCAAAUCAAAUUACAAAAGUUGUGAUUACAUAUACAUGUUGAGAAUAUGUGGGUGAUUCUGCAGGGAUAGUGACAUGAUUCUGUUAAACAAAUUCAGGAUGAACAAAGUCAGGAAGGAAAAGUUACGAUUUCAACAAAAUCAAGACCAUGAAACAUCACAAGUAAAAGAAAUUAGAAAAAAAAAGAGGCUGUAAUAGUGAACCUUCAUAUAUCAAAAUAAAAGUCAGUAGAGUAAUCUUAUUGAAUCAAAAUCAAAGAGUCCAGGAGCACAGGAGCACAAUAACAAAGAAACACAAAUAUCGAAUGGAAAAAUGAAAGUUCAAGUCAGAAUAUGAACCAACUUGUAGUACAUUUGUUUAACAAAAUUAACCCCCCCCAACAAAAUCUUCAGCAUAAGAUAAAAUGCACUGGUACAGGUGUUUAAUAGAAAAUGUGUGGGAAUAAAACUUGCAAGUGUGCAGUAGAAUAGAACAGAAUAGAAUAGAUAAGAAUAGGAUAGAUAGAUAGAUAGAUAGAUAGAUAGUAGAUAGACAAAUGAUAGAUAGGUGAUAGAUAGGUGAUAGAUAGAUGCUAGAUAGAUAGAUGCUAUAUAGAUGCUAGAUAGAUAGAUAGAUAGAUAGAUAGACAGAUGAUAGAUAGAUAGAUAGAUAGAUAGAUAGAUAGAUAGAUAGAUAGAUAGAUAGGGUAGGUGGGUGGGUGGAUGGGUGGAUGGAUGGAUAGAUGGAUAGAUAGAUAGAUAGAUGCUAGAUAGGUAAAGAUAGAGGUGGAGAUAUCAAUAUUACAUAAAUAUAAUCCCAGAGUAGAACAAUUUUAAGAAAUUUACAGUUUUAUUUUGAGAAUUUGUUUGUUUUUUAAUUUUCAAUAUCUUUAAUUUGAAAUUAUUUUAUUUAUAUUUGUGACUAUAGCUCAUUUGUCUGAAUGUAUGUAUAUAUAUAUAUAUAUAUAUAUAUAUAUAUAUAUAUAUAUAUAUAAUUGCACACUGGAUCCAAUGGAGUCCAGAAGAGGAUGUUGGAUGCCCUGGGAGUUGCAGAUGACUUUGAGUACCCAUAUGGGCACUUGGAAUUUAUCCUGAGUUCUCUGGAGGUGUAGCUAGUUUUCUUUUUGUUCUUUUUUUUUUAAUUGAAUUUUUUUAUUAACAUUUCAAAUGUUAUCCCUUUCCCAGUUUCCUGGCCAUAAGCCCCUUAUCCUAUCCCCCUCCCCUUCUAUGAGGCUGUUCCACCUCUCCAACCACCCCUUCCCACCUUACCUCAACAUUCCCCUACACUGGGGGGGGGGUUGUGUGCAGCCUUGGCAGGACCAAGGGCUUCUCUUCUCAUUGGUGCCCAACAAGGCCAUCCUCUGCUACAUAUGCAGCUGGAGCCAUAUUUCAUGUGUACUCCCCCUUCAGUUCCUUCAAUCCUUUCUCUAACUCCUCCAACAGGGACCCAGUUCUCAGUUCAAUGGUUUACUGCUAGCAUUCGCCUCUGUAUUUCACAUGCUCUGACUGAGCCUCUCUGGAGACAGCUAUAUCAGUCUCCUGUCAGCAUGCAAUUGUUAGCUUCAUCCAUAUUAUCGAGUGUUGGUGGCUGUAUUUAUAUGGGCUGUAUACAUAAAUGGGGCAGGCUCUGAAUGGUCAUUCCUUCAGUCCCUGCUCCAAACUUUGUCUCCAUAUUUCUUCCUAUAAAUAUUUUUGUUCCUCCUUCUGAGGAAAACUGAAGCAUCUGCACUUUGGUCAUCCUUCAUCUUGAGCCUCAUGUGGUCUGUGGAUUUUAUCUUGGUUAGUUCAAGUUUUUUGGGCUAAUAUCCACUUAUCAGUUUGUGCAUACCAUGUUUGUUUUUUUGUGAAUGGGUUACCUCACUCAGGAUAAUAUUUUCUAGUUCUGUCCAUUUUCCUAUGAAUUUCAUGAAAUCAUUGUUUAUGAUAGCUGAGUAGUACUCCAUUACGUAGAUGUACCACAUUUUCUGAAUCCAUUCCUCUGUUGAAGGGCAUCUGGGUUCUUUCCUGCUUCUGGCUAUUAUAAAUAAGGCUGCUAUGAACAUAGUGGAGCAUGUGCCUUUGUUUUAUGUUGGAGCAUCUUUGGGUAUAUGCCCAGGACUGGUAUAACAGGGUCCUCAGGUAGUGCAAUGUUUGAGAAUCUUAAGUAUAUAAAAACAUACAGCUGAAUAUUGGCUAGUUUCAUGUCAACUUGACACAAGCUAGAGUCAUCAGAGAAGAGGAGGGAACCUCAAAUGAGAACAUAUCUCCAUAAAAUUGGAUUGUAGGCAAGCCUGUAUGGUAUUUUCUUAAUUAGUGAUCAAUGGAAGAGGUCUUAGUUAUUGUGGGUCAGGUCAUCUCUGGGCAAGUGGUAUUGGGAAGCAGGCUGAUCACGCCAUGACGAGUAAGCAGCACCCUCCAUGGCUUCUGCAUUGGCUCCUACAUCUGGGUUCUUGCCCUCUUUGUGUUCCUGCUCUGAUUCCCUUCAAUGCUGAACACCAAAGUUGAAAAUUAAAUGAAAUAAACCCUUUCUUCUCCAACAUGUGUUUCAUCACAACAACAGAAGCCCUAGCUAAGACAAAUAGAAAAUCAUAAUUAACAGAGAAAUUUCUAGUAUGUAGAUUCACUGAGUAGCAAGUGUGUUUUUUAUUUAAAUAUUAUUUUUCUUAACAGAAAAAUAUUAACCUGAGUGGUUUUCAAAGCUGCUUUAAGGAAAUUUGACCUGUUUUAAGGACUGUGGUGCAUGUAUAUAUGAAUUGAAAAAGCAAAUAAAGAAUAAAAGCCCUUCAAUUCCAUUCCUUCAAAUAUUAUAGCAUUUAAUUCCUCUUAUCCUUUUUUCUGUUGACAUUCUAUACAUACAUAAGGGAUUUUAGUCAUUUCUACAAGAUUGAUUCUUCCUUCUCAUCCUGCUGAAAACAAUAAAUCCCCCUUCUAUCUUCACUUCUUUUUCUGUGCGUGAUCCGCUGAGUUCCAUUAGGAUUGUCUGAGUUCAAUUCUUAUUGAUCCUCUUCUCCCAAAAUCAAUUUUUACACAUUUUAAACACUUAAGUGUGAAAAAGUAAUCCAUUAUAAUGUUUAGAGAAAAAGAUCAAAAAUACAUUUCUGGAUUUAGAUAAAGAAAAGUUUUAGAAACAUAAUGGGAAUUUCCUAGCCAAAUUAAAAACUACAAAAGUAAGAAAGACCAAGCAUACCAAUGUCUAAUGAAAUGUAGAAAGAUUUAAGGGUAAGGAAGUGUCUAUGAAAAGUGACACGGUGAGAACAGCAAAAACUAUGAGCAGAUGAGAAACAGAAAGAUUAAUGCAAGAGUGACUGAUGGAAGACUCAGACACAGAACCUACCUGAAGGUGCCUGACCCCUGAAGAGCGAAGAAAAAUGACUUAAAAAUGCAUGGUGGCAUUGAAUUGAUGCAAUCUAGUGGAAAAUAAUAAUUAAGAAAAAGAGAACAAAUGAGGGAGGAUGUGUAAAAGUGACAGCUCACAAAUUGCUGAUGGAAGUGACAAUUGGGACAGCGAUUCCAAGAUAGAAAUUAGCAACAGCUAGGGAAGUUAAGAAAAUGGUCACAGUUGACAGGACACAUAUUUGUGAGCAUGCUUCUUAAGAUGCCAACAAUGUCCACACAGAUAUUUGUCUCAGCAGCGGAAAGCUGGUGCCUGUGGCAUAUGCAUGUCUAAGGAUGCAAAAUGCUGACUUUAACAUAUCUAUUUUGGCUUACAGGAGUUAAGGUCAUUGUGUAUCUCUCAACAUUGAGUCAUUUUCAAAAACCCUAAAAAGCAAAUGAUGUAUGUCAGUGAGUUUCCAUUGAUAUGUAAAACAAUAGAAUUAUGAGUGUCUGUGCGUUUGUUGUUUGUGUGUCUGGAUUUAUAUGCAUGCAACACAUACAUAAUGACAUAGACUAGAACUGUUCAUUGCAUGCUAACAGGGAAGAUGAGUAGGGAAGAGUGGGAGAGAGGAGAGCCUGCAGUGGAGUUGUGUUAGUGGAUUUCCAAUUCAUCUGAUAUGUAUUCCUUGACUGACUUGAAGCCCAUUCGAUAGAAGUUCGUGCUUUAACAUCGUCUGGUCACACAAGUGAUGGAAUAUUCUGUGUUAGUUUCUUUUUAUUUUGAAGUAUGUCUGCAUGUUCCUGUAUGCACUCAAACUUGCUGCUAUUUGCAUGUCUGUGGCAUGCAUGCAGGGGUAAGUUCAGGACUUUAAGUGGUUUCCACUAUUGCUCUUCAAAUUAUUGCCUUUGACAGUAAUCUCAAUGAACAGAGAGCAGGGAAGCACACCACUUCUUCCAGCUGUCAGGCAAGCUUCAGUGUGUACUCAUCUCCAUCUUAAACUGCUGAGAUUGCCACUGUGCAUGUCAUGACUCACUAAAUUCAUGUGGGUGCUAGGAUUUGUACUCUGGUCCUCAGCUUUGUUUGCAGGGCAAGCCACUCCUAACCAUUUAGCAUUUAGCUAUCUUCUCAUGAACUACACUUUUGAUACAGUUACUGAGAAUAGGAGAUUUUUUUUAUUUGACUGGUCCUUACCUUAAGGUAUUUUCUCUAUUAACUUUGCUCUAGUUCCAGAGAACAUCUUACCAGUAGAGGUACGAGAUGGGCUUCCUUCCUGUAAUUUAUCAUGGCAAUCUGACCAACAGAGGGGUGGGCUAGAUUAAGUAGGGUUUAGAGUCUUUGGUUUAAUUUCAAUGAAUAUUUACUUAUUCAUUAUUAUUUUUGUGCCGUGUGUGUGUGUGUGUGUGUGUGUGUGUGUGUGUUGUACCUCAUGUGUGAUGGAAAUUCACAGAGACCAGAAGAUAGAAAUGGCUCUCUAGUUCUAGAGUUCCAGAAGAUGGUGUACCACCCAAGUUGGAUUCUAGGAACCAAAUUUGGGACCUCUAGAAGAGCAUCAGGUUCCCGUAACUGCUGAGUCAUCUGUCUAUCCAUUCUAUUCCAAUUUAAAUCACUCUUGGUAUUUUUAUACUAAAAACAUGAUACAUAUAUGUGAGGGACUAUGUGCCUAGAAGUAGCCCUCCCUCUGAACGAGCAACAGGACAAUCUCUAUGGAUUACCUGUGUGUAAAGAUUACUGGGAAGUUUUACUGAAAUAUGUUGGGCUUCAUCACUCUGUUGAGAACUUCAGUGGCAGCAAAGCCAUGAGUUCCAGUAAUGGGAAGCAGAAUCAAAACAUCACAGGGCCAGGAAGUUCACCCUAAGGAUGCUUAGAUCACACUCUGUCAGGUAAGCACCUUGAUAAGGACUUGUAUAUGACAUAAGUGAAGUGGGAGACACGGACACAACCACAACUACACGUCUUCACAAGUGAGCACAGCCCAACUGAACCCAAAUGUUUCUUAUCACUAUGGCAAAUUCCUGAAAAGGAGCUGAAGAGAGGAGAGUUAUAUCACUUCUCAGAAUUUUAAAGCAUAAGAUAUAAAUCAUGGUAGGGAAGGUAUGAUGGCCACAUUGAAGUAAUUGGAAAGGUGAUAACAUUUGAAAUGUAAAUACAUAAAAUAUCCAAGAAAAAUUUUAAAAAAGCCUGUAAAAGUUUCCCAACCCCCCCCCCAAAAAAAAAAUCAAGCCCAGGACCAGAUGGAUCUAGUGUAGUGGAGAUUUCUAUCAGACCUUCAAAGAACACCCAAUACCAAUGCUCUUCAAACUAUUCUGCAAAAUAGAAAACAGAGGGAACACUACCCAAUUCAUUCUUUGAAGUCACAAUUAUGCUUAUACCUAAACCACACAAAGACCCAACAAAGAAAGAGAAAUUCAGACCAAUUUCCCUCAUGAAUAUCUAUGCAAAAAAUACUCAAUCAAAUUUUUGCAAACCAGAAAAAAAAUAGAAAAGAAACAAACAAACAAGGCCAAUCUAAAAGCAGAAGUAGACUAUACCUUAAAAGACCUCUACCCAAGUGACCCACAACUUCAUGACAAGUUACAUAACUUUCCAAAACAGUCCCACCUGGUUGGGGUAUAAUCUAAUAUAUAGGCUUAUGGGGGGAACCAAAACCAUAAGGAAAACUGAAUUGUUUUUACUGACUUUGAAGCAUUAAAUGGUUCUUUUGACAGGAAUUCAAGUUUACAUUAUGUUACUUUGAAGGAGAGAUUCUUGAUCAUGAAUUAAUCUAUUGCAAGGCUGAUUUUUUAGUUGGGGGUUGUCAAUUGAAUUUUGCAUAGUAAAAUGAGCUGGGUUUAGACUGAGAAUCUCUUAGUCCUGUCUACUUCUCAGAUUCAGUGUAUACCUGGGACAGGAGUUGGGAUAUUGUAAAUAAGCACACUUUCUUUAGAAAUAACUCUAAGAGUCUAAACUUAUAACUUAUAAAAAAUAAGACCCACUCUCAGUAGUUAGUUGUGCUAUUUUUUACUUGGUGGAACCAUGCAAAUACGAUUUGAAACGGGAACUUCUAGAAUAUUUGUUGAUAGCUGUCAAUCCUAAAUGUGAAGAGAAACUGACAAUCUUGCUGUAGUAAGUAAAGUGUUCUUGCUAAUUUUCAGAAAUUUGUGGGGAACGUCUUGAUUGUGUUGAACAAAUGUGACCAUUUUCCUUCAAUAAACAACCACUGCCUUGAGGCAGCCUCCAGGGGAAAACUGUUUAUCCCAGGUACACAUUUUUAAUAUUUGUAAACAAUGUCUAUGUUCUAUCCUUAAAUUUACUACUUAUCACUGUAUAAUUUUCCACCAGUUUGACAAUAUAUACAUCUCAUUAAAAGGUAAGCCCAUGUGGAAUUGGUCACUAGUGGGCACUGUGACUAAAGAUAAUGUGAAAAUAGACUGUUCCCUGACUACGCAGACUAAGCAUAGCACUCAUCACCAAGGCAUGGAUGAAUUGUUUAAAAAUGUUUGAGCUAGGUGAGUAACAAACACCUCACACAUUUUUGCAUUUCCAAAUCCAAGCAAACGUGCUAUCCAUUGCAUACUUUCUGAUUUAAUAUGAAGGGCAGAAUUACCUGCAGAAAAGUCUGCUUGUACAGUUGGAAGAAAUGGUAGUCACUGCAGGGGUCCUGUAAAUGUAUGCAGUUGAAGUCCACAUCCCCUGACACCUGCCAGCCAACAGAGAACUGUCCCACAGUUAAGACAGUAAUAAUACUAGUAAUAAUACUAAGUAAAUAAUAAUACUUAAUACUCAGUAUUUAAUAACCUUCCCUUGAUUCUGUCUCUUGAGGAUCCUCAUUCCAUUCUAGAAGUCAUAGUUUAAUACUCUGCUCUGUGAUCUAUCAUUCCUUAUAUCCCAAGAAUCAAGAUGAUUUUUUUCUUUCCUUUUAUUCUUUGAAGUCAAGACUCUUGCUUUUCUACCCUAAUUGCGAUCGAUCACCAGUCAAUGACUCCCCUCCUGGUUUGGCCCAGCAUCUCAGCCUGUGGAAGUUUAUUGUGAUUGUGAAUUAGAUUGGAUUAAGAAUUGGGGGAUCCGGGAAAACAUCACUGUGGUGUCUGGAAAGACAAAUCCAGAGAAGAUUAGAUCUUUCAGGUUCUAUCCUAAUGAGCAGAGAAAGGCAAUGAUAGGUUCAACAUAUGAAUAAAUUAUUGGGAAAUGGAAGAGGCGAUGGAUCCCUGAGGAAAUGCCCUUGAGGAUUUUGCCCCAUAACUUCCCAUUGGUUCUCUAGGCUUCCAACCCAGGCUGAAGCUUGCUACCCAGACAAGAUUUCUAUGGCACAAUGGACUAACACUUCAGAAGACAUGAGACCAAAAUAACUUUUUACUUCUUUGGAUUAUUUCUAUUGCAAACUUUGGUUAUAAUAAGACAAUAGUCCCCUUCUGUGUUCACUAUGAUUUCUCCUCAGAAGGCCAUCUCUAUGCCCUGAUUAUCUUAGUCCUUUCUCCCCAAACUUUCUUACCUGACCUUCCAGGCUUGCUUUUGAUUCCUUUUGCAGAGUAAUACAACCAAUGACUUGGAUAUUCCCAGUUGUUUACUGGGAAGCAUUGUGGUCUGGAUGUGGAUUUAGAGUAGAAACUUUCUCCUUCCACAGGUUGGUGGUAAGAAUGACCAGAAGCAGUGGAUUUUCCUAGGCAAUAAUCCAGAAUUUGGCUGUAGCUGCAACAGAGCAAGCAGUAUUGGGCACCACAGUGGAGCAAGAGUUCCCAAGGAGUCAACUGUGUUCUCUAACCAGGGGAAUCUGGACCUGUCUCAUUUGAUUACGUGACAGUCAUGAUAAUGAACUUUAUAGGGAAAGGAGAUAGCUAACCAUGUGAACCAUGCACAUUCCUGAGAGUGCUCAGGAAGCCAGCUAAGGAAUGGAAGUUGCAUCUCUGGUAGAAUAUUCAUGUCCAUUUAUUUUUAACUAUAAAUGUAUUUAAUAUUUAUUCAGGGUUCCAAAGUUCCUCAGGGACAAGGAAUCAUUUUUAGGCUUUGAAAAAGUAACUUAAAGUGAUAAAAAAAAUGUACAUUAACAGCAGCAAAAAAUGAUACCUAAAUUUAACAUUCCCAACAAGGUAUGCUGAAUCUACUGCAUCAAAUUCUUUCAUCACUGUACUUUGUUUGGUCACAGGAUACUGACCAUAGGAUGUCACUGAUUGCUACAGUAUGCUGGUGAAAUUUAUAAACGACUUAGCAGAUAUUUUGAAUAAGCCAUUUAUCAAAAUAUGAAGCACUUGACCUAUAAAUCAAUUAGUAGGUUGUAAAUAAAAUAAGUUUACAAAGAGUUUUGAGAAUGUUUUAGUAUGGAUAUGUCAUUUACUUGCCUAAGCUAAUUAAUUCAUCAUGUUCCAGUGAAUGGCUGGGAGGCCAGUCACUGAGUACCUGGCAGGUUUGCUUGGGGUUCUGGUAUUGCUAUACUCAUAGCUGUGGCUAAAUCCCUUACAGAAUGAUCUUGAGGAAGGAGGGUAGUUGUCGUGGUUUCUGGUUUGGCUAUAGUCCAUGAGGUGAGGAAGACAUAGUGGCUGGAAUGUGAAGCAGCUAGUGUCACACGACACCAACAGUUAGGAAGUUAAUGGACAUGGAUGUUGGUACUACGCUGUCUUUCUUGUUCCUAAUUAAUCUAGUAUCCCAGAUCAUGUAGAUAGAGAGACUGUCCAUAUCGAGAAUUACCUUCAGACUCCACAGAAGUUGAUCUCUGAGUGAUUCUAAAUCACAUCAAGUUAACAAGACAAACAAUGACAGUUCUUACAUACUCAGAUAUUUGACACAAUUCCUUCUCACCUAUCCUUAUCCUGUCCUUAAAAUUCUUCUCCUUUCUUCAAGAAAGGGUGGGUUUCACUAGAUUAUGGGUCUAUGAUUCAUCUUCCAGAUGGAUGCUCAAACUCUUGCCAUCCUUGCUCAUCACAUUUAACUAUGAUGACACAGAGUGAGAGGAGGAUAUCAUUGCGUUCUCGAGCUUGAUUCAUGUGGGUGCACAUACUGUAGGGCUGUGUGUGGAGAGCCAUAGGGCAGCUAUUUCUCUAGAACCUCAGUGUGAAGAUGCGCCCAGGGGAUGCCACACACUUCUUCCUAAUAGUUCCAAUUUUUUUUCCUCAACUACUGUUCUGCAGGUUAGAUGGCAGACUGAAUGCACUUACUGCCUAUGUUCUUUGGUGAUGAACUUCACCUUCCUGUGCCUUGCCUUGUCCAAAGGCAAAAUGUGUCCAACUGCCCUGAUUCAAGAGUGUUUUUGUUUUGUUGUUUCUUUAGGUUCAGAAAUAAAAAUGAUAUAUCCAAGAAGGUCAAAAUCAAUUCACAUUUAUUUUGAGUUAUAUUAUGUAUGCCAACAUGUUUAUCUGUGUUUACACCAUGUAUCCACUAUCUCUAAGAUCUAAUAGAAAUCACAUGUUUCAACUUUUCCUAUCAGGAAUGUUCCUGCAUAAAGAAUUUCUUGUUGUCACAAUUGCAACUACUUUAAAGAUGACCCUGAGGUUGCCCUGGGCUUGAACCACUGUGGCCGUUGUGCUAAUGGCCUCUGCUAGAGAGUAUUGGGGUGGGUCAGGUGUCAGAAUGGGCCAACUGGCUAUGCUCUGUCCUCUGACCACAGAUUCCCCUUUAGACACACCUUGCAGAUCUAUGCCAUUGGUCAUUCCUGAGCAUGGGAAUGUCUAUAAGACUCCAUUCCACUUUGUAGAUUUGGGAGUCAUAGCCUAAUGCUCUCAGGCCAGUGGCCUCAUGUCUUCAUAAUGUUUGUUAAUGGGAAGAGGUAGAAUCACACAGGAGUCUAUUGUUCCUAAUUAUAACUUAAUGCUGAGGGGCAAGCUCAUACUUUCUUUGUCCCAUUCAGGAUCAUGCCCUGUAUUAACUGGAGCGCUGCAUGGCACCAAGGGGCACUCAUAUUUGGAAGUCCCUGUUGUGGUGGAGUCACUGAAGCAGGGAAGAUACUUAAUGCAGGAUCUGGACAGGAAACUUUCAGAGACUCAGCUUAGAGAAAUCUUUCUGCACAUAUCUGAAUUUUAUUUCAUUUAUUUAAUGGCUGGGCAUCUUUUACCUCUUUCUUUUACAUAUGAGUUGGUGAGACAAUGUAAGGUCCCUCUCGCAUAUACUACAUCUCCCUUGUGGCUCUUGUCUUACAUUAUAUGCAACUUGCACCCAAAAUGAGCCUCUAGUAUAACACUAAGUACUUAACCCACAGGCUAUUGAAUUUCCUGAAUUUUUCCUACUGGCUUUCUCCUGCCUCUCUGCCCACCAUCCCACUGACAUUGAUGUCAUGUCUCCUAAGGUAACUCUUACCUCUGACAAGUCUCUGAUUCUUUGUUUCUGAAGUUUAGGUAAUACUGGAAAGGACUGGUUAGGAACAUCAGAUUGCUCCCCCAUGGCUUCACUGAUUCUUGGAGUGAGUUUCAGAUCUUUAUGAGGAAGAGUACAGAUGAAGAGCUUUCUAACUCUGUUAGCACUUGCUGUCAGCCCAGCCUCAUUACUGUGAUGAUGCUGUCCCUCAUCAGGUCAGAACUGGAAGGGUCCUGUAAUAUCUGUUUCCUUUUCUUCCCCAUCCUACCCUGAAGUCUAUGUAAGAAAAAUGCUAUGAGGCUGACUAAAGAGAACAGAGUGGGGCAUAGGACUGAGUUAUCUAGAAUUCUGCUUCCAAGUUUUUCUCUUCUCUCCCACCUACUUAAAAAUAUAAUGAUUUAUAUGACCUUUGGCUAUGUAUGACACCUUCAGGCUGCCCAGGUCCAGCAUCUGUUGUCUUCUGUGUGGUACUGCUGCUGUCUUUGGUGUCUGGUACCCAUAAUGACGCUUCCCUUUGGCACAGAUGCUGCUCACUAUGUGAGGUUCACAACAUUGGCAUCUUUGGGUACCAAAAGAACUGGGGGUACCAUGGGCAUGUGAGCCAUAGCACCUCAUGCUUUAGUCCAUAAGGGAUGGACAACACUCCUCCUGGAGGUUUUGAACCCAUAUACCUGCAGGCACUUACCUGAUUACAUUCCAGUCUCCUGGCUUGUUCCUUCGGGCUCUGCUGUCCCUGCAGAUCCAAAUUCAGGGAAGGCAUAAUCAACUUAGCUUUAGCAUAGAGGUUAAUAAAUCCCAGGACAUAGCAUUAUUUUUUCCUCAUUUUGUAUUUUAAAAUAAUUUUAGACUUACAAAAUUCUUCAAAAAUAGUCUAAAUGACCUGGAUAACCUUCACCUGUCUUCCUCCCUGUGUUAAUCGCUUACAUAACUAGAGCACAAUGACCAGAAUGAAAAAAUUGGUGUUGACACAGGGUUAUUAACUUUAAACACCUACUUAGCUCUGUCAAUUUUUCCACUGUACCAUGAUCCACACUCUAUUUGAAUUCCUUUCUGGGAAAUCUGCCCCUCUUCCCAAUGAUCCCUCAGCCUCCUCACCUCCCCAUGACCUUGAAACUUUUGGACAGUGCUGAUUGCUCAUAUCCCUGAUCUUAGUCUGUCUUUUUUCUUUUCUGCUCAGUGGACUCCAGUUUGACUUUCUGCCCAAUACCAUAGAAAAAUACGACCCCUUCUCGGUGACUUGAUCACAGGACACAAGCCACUUUGAGACACAUACGCAUGCCUUUUUCUCACAGUAAGAACAUAGAUCACUUGGCAAAGGUGAUAUAGCCUUUUCCAGUGUCUCCACUGGAACAUUUGCUGUUUUCACGUGAACGGGUGUUUGCUUCAUGAAUGUCCAUGUUCAACACAUGUGCCAGGUGACUGAGAAGGCCAAAGAGGCCAGGCAAAUACAUCAGAUACCCUAGAAUUGGAGUUACAGAUAGUUCUUCUCUUCCAUGCGGGCUUUGGGAAUAACAAGAACUCUAACGUGCUUGGCCAUCUCUCUAGCCCCAUCUAAUUACAAAUAACUGAAAAGUAGUGAAUAGCUCAGAGAACAUACUUUGCUAGUGUGCAAACACCUACAUGUUUCAUGUUUCAGUGUUUAGUCUAAGAUUUGACAAAAGAUAUUCAGAGAUCAUGCAAGGACCAUGUAAAUCUGAGGACACCAUGAUUAUACUUAGGUUGCCAGGAAUGAUUAGUAGAAGAAGGAAGAGGAAGGGAGAGGAUUAGAGAGGGAUAGGAAAAGACCACACAGACAAAGACAGGGUGGGUAUAACUUUUCCCCAAUCUUGCUCCAAACCAUAACCUGUUUCUCAUGUGUUGUUAAGUCUAUGGACACACAGUGCCUCAAGUUCCUCAGGGUUCUGUCAUACCAAUGCUAAUUAAAUAUUAUAAUUAAUUCAGCAUUUACUAACCCAUAAAAACUUCUUAGUGAUGUGUCUUGGUUUAUAAAUCUUAGAUACUUUGGAACAAUCUGUUUAUAAGUGUUAGUGAAGGGAACCAGAUUUCAAUAAUCAAUAAUAAAAUAGCUAGCCUAUUGGAUAGAAUUCAAGUGAAAAUUCUAGAGUAUAAUCAAUAGUGAGAGUCUUUAAGCAUCCAUGCCAUAUGUCAUCCAUAAAAUUGGAUUUUUGCAUCUUCUUUGUUUCCCCUCUCCUUCACCUGCAGGGUUUGGAACUGAAUGACUCUUGGGAGUUAGAUUUUCCUGUUGUGCCAAAUAAGAAGAAACUCACAUGGAUAUUUAAGAAUUGGCAAGGGUGUUACCCCAGCCUCAUUUUCCAUAAUCAAUAUUAGAAGGAUCAUUUAUAAGUGCAUGUCUUAAGAUAUCUACCACAUAGUUUACACUCAAUUUCAUACUUCAUGUGGCAACCAAAACUUGCAAAAGUGCAGCCUUGGAGUGCACAUAGGUGACGAUUUCAGGAGAGUUGAAUUUUUAAAAGGUUCUCAUCCAUAUAUAUUACUCUUCAUCAUUUGGCCAUUAAUAAAUAUGAGCAGUUCAUGAAGAAAAAUAAUUGAAAGCCAGGCAAUAGAUAGAACUUUACAAACUUAAUAGAAAUACCUUUCUUUGCUAAGCAAGAACCUGGUGACUAAGUUCCUCAGGAAUGAAGAUCCCGGUGCUUAGCCCACCUGCCUCAGAGCUGUCAACAUCCACCACAGACAAGCUAGCUCUCCAGAGACCAAAGAGGAGCUUCAAGCUUCUUUAACAUUGUUCGUGAUGUCUCAUUAGGAACCGUAGAGAAAAAUCUGCUAACUCUUCUUCCUACAAAACAUAAAGUACAUGUAACAAUUUUAGAACAAAGAAUGAAAUAAAGGAGCGAUGCCUUUGGAAUUCAAAAGGAAGACAGCCCACCCAGUUCCUGUGCUUUGGGGACUGCUCUGUUCCUUCUCUUUAAUCACCCCCCAAGGACAACAUCAUUUUCUUUAAUUACUAAUCUGAUUAAAUCUUUCCUCUAGCACUUAAAAAAAAACUUGGAACCAGUUAGCCCCAUGAUUAAAUGUCCUCUGCUUCCAAUGCCUGAGUCCUGUCAAAUAUCAGGAGAAACUGGAUGUUCUAAACCUCUGGGAUAAAUAGAAGAGGAGCACUGUGGAACAGGCUUUGUCACUCACUCUGGUCUCCUGACUUGGGGCACAGACUGAAGUUUAGUAAGUAAAAGAACAAGCACCAGGCUAAGGAAGGCUACUAAACCAGCAUCAGAAAAGUUCAAUGCAUCAGAAGGUAAAAGACCAACCAAGUCAAGGGCCAAGAAUUAAAAUGAAAAUUUGAGUAUUGCAAGAUAUGCAUUACUCAACAGGAGAAAGACAGGCUAGCACUGUUGGAGGGAGGAAAAUCAGUCUCUAGGCUGAAACAUUGGAACCUGCAUCUCCUGCUCGUUGAGCAACAUCUCAGUUGCAUGAGUAGGUGGAGACAAGGAAGACACAAAACAAAGGAAGCAUGUGGUGCCUGCAGGGUGACUGGUGGGAGGAAGAAAACCAUUGGUACAGCCUCCUUCAGAGAAAGGAGACCGGAUGCUCUUAAGUAGACAAGGUGAGGCCCUCUGAACACAUAUUCAAGAUCCACUAGAAUAAAGUAAGUGUCAACUCUGUAAUAGGGUAGAUUAUCAUAGAUUCCUAUAAAGAAAUGUUCUGGGAUUUUAAAAUAAUGUUUGCUGCCAAGAUGACACAGAGUGUUUCAAAACGAACAGAAAUGCACAUAAAAAGUCAAAAUAAGAACAACGGAGGUCUGUGGCUGUAGCUUAGUAGAAGAGUACCUACCAUAUAAUACACAUCAUAAACACAUACCCACACACAUCACAUAGGAAAAACAAAAAGCCAGGGAAGGUUACAAGUAGUCACUGAUAUUGGAUAAUCCCAAAAGACAGAAUUAUAAUAGUUAUUUAAAAUUCAUCUUAUUUUCUAAAUGUUCUAUGAAAAAUUUAGGUGUCUGACCACAAAAGAAUCCCAGCACACAUUAUUUCGAUAUGAUGGUAGUAUGUUUGGCAUUACGGAACCCACUGAUAUGUUUCCCUUUCCUUUCAUUAGCUGUGUGCCACACCGUUGACAGACUGAGUUACAGAAAUUGUGUUUUCUACUUUUGAAUCAGAUCAUAAAACUUUGAGCAGAGUGUUUUCUACAUGGAUGAUCCUGGCUCCUAGAAACAGUGGAAUCAUGUGCACCAGUCGGACCAGGAGGAACCCCCAUACCCCAUGAUUCUGAGCAUGAACACAGUGACUCUAGCCCACCAUCUCCUGCAUGAACUCACGCAUAAUUGGAUCUCAUGGCUUUUUGCAAGAUAACUGUGAACUCUGUUUUCAUUGGACAGUAUCACACAAUUGCCAUCAUAGAAAGGCCAGACCAUGCCUGCAGUCCUAGCACUUAGGUGGCUGAGGAAAAUGGCCACUGUAUGACCAACCUGGACUACCUAUGGACUUCUAGGUCCAGGCUACAGAAAGAAAGACUCUCUUCUAAGUCAACAAAAUGUAACAACAAUAAUAAAAAGAAAAAACAUGGAGGGUAAAAAUUUUAUCUUUGUAAAGUUAUGAAAAGAUACAAGGUGGGACGGGGAGAUCAGACCCUUCCUACCUAGACCGUCCCCUCUGAAAUGACUUCUCUUACAAUCUCCAGCCUGGCCUAUCAGCAACCACUGUCCAAGGAGCCUUUAAUCAGGGUCUCAACUUCUCUAGAAAGAUAAUCUCAGUAUGAGUAACCUUAGAACAUUUAGCAUUAACACUGCUGACAGUGACCAACUUGGUGGUUCUCUGAGGUGAACUAGGAACUGCAGAAAAGAGCUGGAGGACAGCAGCCAGCCUGCCAUGAACCACACACCCAUUGUGUCAUUGGGUCAUUCAUGGCAGUGCCUGUCUUCUUAGAGUAGAGAGUGAAGGGUACACUCCAUGGUGCAUACUGUGGUCACUGUUCCCAUAGACCAGAGACAAGGGGAAUCUGAGAAGGAGGCUUUUUGCUUUAGCUCCCUUGAUCUUUUUAUAGACAGUCACAUGCUCUGAUUACUCAUGAGAACAUCUCCACAGCUCUCUCUGCACCUGGACUUGAGGACUCUAAAUGUGCCUCCUUCUUAUUGUCUGACUGUAAUUAUGUGUAGCUGUGGUUUGCAUGGUAACUCCUAAGAGUCUUUGACCCUAUGAAUAGAUACAUUUUUACCUGUAGCUAGUAUUUCUUAAUUCACUCAUCACUCUUAUCAAUGAACAUGUCUGAAAAUUCUGUACUGCUUUUCGGUGCACUUCAGUCUGUUUCAGUCUUUCCCUCUAUGCCCCAUUCUUCUCCAUCCCCACCUCUCUUCCUAGCUCUGUGCCUUCCUCCCUUAGAUCGUCAGGCCAGAAUCCUAAGACACGUCUUGACUCUCAUUUCAGAUUCACUUACAGUAGUUAAACAGACGUGAUUCUCUAAAUUACCCCGAAGCUCCUUUCUCAUCCUCCAGGCUGACCUGGAGGGGUGUUCUCAGGAAACAACCCCAGUUCUCUCCUGGACACUCACUGUGCUGAGGCAACUUUUUUCAUGUUAAGAAAGCCUUGGCUAUGUCACUGUUCAUCACUCAAAACUCUCACCAUCCUCCAACUUCUGCUUCCAUGACCACUGGCUUCAUUCCCUCUGCUAAAGGUUCUCAGUUACUGUGUCCAAUUCGGAACUUGGGCAUUAUCUUAGGUCUCUCAGAGAGAGAGAGAGAGAGAGAGAGAGAGAGAGAGAGAGAGAGAGAGAGAGAGAGAGAGAGAGUCUGUCCAUGUGAUAUAUGCAUAUACAUACAUAUAUGUACAUAUGUGUGCGUGAAUGUAUGCAUGUAUACAUGCAUGUAUACAUGCAUGAAUGUUUGUGAUUCUUUGGCAUCUUCAUGUUUUGAUUUGUUUUGUUUUUGACUCAUGGCUCCUCUUUGGCCGGAAGUUUAAUAGACUAGGCUGCCCUGCCAGCAAGCCCAGGGCACCAGUGUGUCUCUGCUUCCUGAGUGCUGGGAUUAUGAAUACAUGCUACCAAACUCCCUCUUCUGUUAUUUUGUGAGUGCUAGGGUAACACACUCAGUGUUUGUAGGGCAAGCACUAUACAGACUGAGCUCCGUUUUUGUUUUUUUGUUUUUUUUUUUUCAUAAUGUCAUUGCCUGGUACCUCUCCUUUACCUGAAGGUUAGCAUGAAGAGACGAGCUAUACGUGACUCUACCUGCCCCCCUAUUCAACAAGCUACUUUCCUCCCAAGAAGUCUGUUCCACUUAGUGCGAUGAUGAUAGGGUGUAAGCUGUUAGCCAUUUGCCAUGUUCAAUCCUGUAAGGAGCAUUUAGGGAGUCAAAGGAGGGAACAAUUGGAUGGUAAACAACACGUGCAUGAGGCUUGCGUUGCUGUUGUGUCUUCCCAUCCUCCUAUCUGAUAAAGCUUCUUCAAGUAAGCCAACACAGUGGACUCUCUUCUUAAAGCUGGGUUUACCUGUUCAGAGAAUUCACCAUUUUUAGAAGAUUCUGGAAAACCAAGAGGUGAACAAGAAUUAUUCUUCUCAUGGAUAGCCUCUUCUUUAAAGCAAAAGAAUAUAUAUAUAUAUAUAUAUAUAUAUAUAUAUAUAUAUAUAUAUAUAUAUAUACAUACCACAUACUGGCUCUGCACACUUUGUGUGCCCAGAGCCUGCAUUGCCUGGUUUUGUCUUCCAGGGGUCCCUUAACCAUAACAUAUUCACUACUGAGAGGGUGAGUUCCAGGGAAACCCAGCUGGCCUGAUGUUCCCUCCCUGGGGUAAUAGAAACAGGGGAGACGUGUCUCCUUCUAAUUUAAUUAAAGUGAACUCUUUCAUUAAACUACUGUGGCUACCAUCAUAUUUUUAGGAAUGAAAUAUUUGAUCUGCUCAUGAAUCACUACACUGCACAGGAAAAUUAACUAAGAUUAAAUUAAAUAGUAAUAGUUGGGUACUUAACAGAAGAAGUCAGAGUUAUGCAGCAUUUUGGAAAAAAAUAAACUUUAACUUUUGAAGUUUUAGAUUUAGAGGAGAAGUGCGAAGAUAAGUGACAAGUUCCCCUCUCCUUCCUGAUGUGGUUUAUCCCAUUCUGGUCAUCUUAUGUCACAUAUAAUAGUCACAGUUUAUACCUGUAUAGGUUUACAUACACCAUCAUCCCAUUCUCUCUCUCUCUCUCUCUCUCUCUCUCUCUCUCUCUCUCUGUGUGUGUGUGUGUGUGUAUGUGUGUAUAUGGUGUAUGUUUGUGUGUGUGUAUGUGUGUGUGUAUAUAUGUGUGUGUGUAUAUGUAUGUAUGUGUAUGUGGUGUAUUGUGUGUGUGUCUCUCUCUCUCUCUCUCUCUCUCUGUGUGUGUGUGUGUGUGUGUGUGUGUGUCUUCAUCUGGAGCCCAUGUGACACUUUGUUACAAGGUCCCCUUAAGUUUUCUCUGGACUAGACAGAGACUGAGAAUGUCCUGCUGUGAUGUCCUUGAGGUUUUGCUGGCUUUGCGUUUUGCAGGAUGUUUAUCAAAUGGGUCUUUCUGAGGUGCUCCUUGUGAUUUUUUGGCCAGGGUCCUUAGAGUGGGGAACCACAAAGGUAGGCUGCCACCCCCACCAUGGACUAUUAAAGCAACAUGCCAUGAAAAACAUGCAUCAGAGUAGACAUGAAACCUGGUCCCAUGGUUGGAAAUGUCAGUGACUGUAAACUCUUUCCUGGGUUCUCACAGGACCCUUCCAAUCACUGUUCUGCCCAUACUUACAAGUGAAGGAGUAGGCAGGCAGAGUGUUGGGGACCAUCAUGUACAAGUUUUCUGUAUAAACCAUUUUUUCCUCCCACAUAAUUAUAUUGAGAUGGUCUCAAAGGUGUUUAAUUUAUACCUUAGAUUGCAGUCCAAAUGCUCUUUUUCUGGGUCUUUUUGUUACAGUUUUCUGGCUCAGACCUGGUCUUCCAGACACUUCCUGGCUAUCUGUCCCCUGUUCCUCUUGGCUUCAUUAAUUGCUUAUAGUGGAAUAAGUUUUAUUUUAUUUGGUUGUUGUUCAUUUCGAUGCAUUUUGGUUACUCUUUUCCCAUUCUUUAUGCUACUGUACACAUACAUCUGUGCAUUUAAUGUUUCAAACCUGCCAUCAGCUGCAUCCCCAAAGAGUCCAGGUUCCUUUUGUAAGAAAAUAUGCAGGGGUUGGGGAUUUAGCUCAGCGGUAGAGCACUUGCCUAGCAAGCGCGAGGCCCUGGGUUCGGUCCCCAGCUCUCAAAAAAGAAAGAAAAAAAAAGAGAAAAGAAAAUAUCCUGCAGGUCACAUUUGGCCACUAGUUUUAACAUUACUUUGAUUUAUUUCUUAAAUGAUGUUUAUACAUGUAUAUACUGAUUUUUACCAAUUCUUUGUAAUGAUAAAUAUGUGUGCAAAGCAGAGGAAGCUGUAACUGGAGGCAGCAAUAAAAACACCUAAUCUGAUUGAUUUUUGUUGUUGUUGUCAUCGUUGUUGUUGUUGUUGUUGUGGUGGUGGUGGUGGUGGUGGUGGUGGUGGUGGUGGUGAUGGUGGUGCUCUUUGACUGAUCUCAGGAAACUUCUACCAGUCAGUCUUCAAUUCCCUGAAUCAGCAGGAUGGUCUCUGGGAGGCACAUGUUGUGUGUUUGUGUUUUAGAAAGGUGUCACAUUCUGCUGCCCAAGUUCAAAGUGAGAACUUCUACUGAAGCAUCCUCCCUCCUCUGCAGAUUGACCAGAGGUUAGGGAAAGUGGCUGGAUGAAUAUGUGUUUACAGCUAAUGGACUUCGAAGGAAAACAAGGUUGGAUCCUCUUCCAACCUUAGUUAGUCACCUACACCCCUGGUGACCUUCAGACCUCUAUUACCACUUACUACCUUGUUCCUCUAAUCUUUAAACAGUUGUCCAACACUUAAGUGGGAACUCAGAUGCCUGUAAGCAUCAACCUUCAUCAGGUACCCCAGACAGGUCUCAAACUAUUAGACAGCUUAGGAUGUCCCGGAACUCCCCUGGCCUCUCCGUUCUGAGUGCUAGGAUUGUAUGUGAACAUCGUUACAUCCAGGUUAUGUGGUGUUGUGGAUUGAACUCAGGGUGUUCUGAGUGCUAGGCAAGCAAUCUACCAACUGAGCCUUCUCAAUUGAGGUUUCUUCUCAGUCCCUGUGGCUUCCUCCAUGUGUCACUCCAGAACAGCAAGCAGAAGCAGAGGGAGGUCAGGGGAUCUUUCUCUAUGGAAGACAGCACAGGGUCAGGUACUGCUUUACAGUACUGAGUGAUGAGAGGGCCAAGUGUGCCUAAGCUUGAAUCACUUAGAAUGCUGAGUAUUGAGCCUUGGAGAGGGACAGCUACUCAGAAGUGUGUCUUCCCAGAGUACCUUCUAUCUCAGGGACUCAAGAUCUGUCCUUAAAAUGCAUAAGAGAGAUGGCAGCCUGGAGUCUGUCCCCAAACCUGUGGAAUGGCAGUAGUCUAGCAGUGUAUGUGGGGGAUGGGGUUACUCUUCCAGAUCAUAACUUAACCCUGAUGGCACAUCAGGACAGACCUCAUGUUAUGAUAUUUUAUGUAGAAUCCAUUGAUUACUUGAUGAACACAUGUAAUAUCAAAUGUGGGACUGGGUUGGGGAAAAUGCAAACUUUCAGGGACAUCAAGGAGAACAAAGGGCUGCUUCCCAUCAUCCCACUGGACUCUUUGAACGCUCCCCUAAUGUUGGUUGGGCUGGAGUUAGAUGAGGAGAAUGUCUGUGAUCCACUGUGAGCAUCCACUGUGUGCAGAAAUCAGAAUCUUGCUUUUUCUACAAGUAAAGGAACAAACAUUUAACAAUAAAUAUCUCCUUAAAGUCAGGUCUGAGCUAUUGAAAUCUGUGUGUUUUGGGGUUAAAUAAUACACAUCCACUCCUUCUAAAAGCUUCAAAACUCAUCCUGUGUAGUUAAGUGCAUAAAAUUAAUUCUGUAAUGUAUAUAAUUCUGGAAUAUAGAUGCCAACUGGAAGGAAAAAAAUUUGAGCCAAGUUAUAAAGCCAAAUUACUACACAAUACUCCUUUCUUUAAAAAUCGAAUCCCAAGCCUGUAUCUCAGGAAAUAACAACUGAUUGCAUGACCAUGUGAUAAGACUUACAUUCCUGCUAACUUGCAAGUUAUUUUUUAACUUUAUAAAUUCUAUUUUACCCUCUUUUUGGUUUAGGAAAUAGAGAGGUAAGCAAGGUGCUGAUGGAAAUAUAGAAAUAAACUAUGGAAGGUCAUACCAGGUACUUGCCAGAAUAAGUAGAGCUACAUCCUCAGCUUUACCAAGGUAGAUAAGUUCAAAAGGACCCUGAAUGAUGCUGGAAUCUCAGAGCAGGGGAACACUGGAGACACUGCCCUUGUUAGAAAGAUCUGCCUCUGAAGACCUGAGGCAUGCUGGGACUCUUCACUGUAGCCUACAAACCCAGAAUGAUAUCUAUGGGAGGGCAAAGGUGUCAUGUCUGAGCCCUCUGUUGCACUGUCAGGGCCCACUUCUCUCUGCGGGGUCUCUAUUUCCUCUGGACUGAUCAGAUGCAUCCUGUCUCUAUGGAGAGCUCAGUCUUUAUCAGGAUCAUGGCUCAUUUCCUGGAGGAAAUGAUCUGGUUGUAACCUCUUCGUUUUCUGCUUAAUCACAUUUGGAACUGCAAUCUACCUUUCCCUACUUGCCGGCCCCAUUGAAACUAUUUAUUAAGGACUCUAAUAUCCUUUAAAAAACACUGACUUCGUAGACUCUCUCCUCCUUAUACUCAUCGAGCUUGAAUUAUCUUCUGUCAAAAUUCCAUUUUCAUAAAACGCCUCUUGGAAUUUUAAUUUUGUUCUCAUUUUUACAUCAGUUUCAGUCCUUCUUUCUUCAUGGAGGCCUCCUGCAUCUCAGCAUGUCUCAGGUUCUUGGCUUCCUCUUUUUCUCUUACAGGAAGCCUCUCAGGAAAUUCUAAACUGAGAGGUGCACAGAAUCAGUGUGAGUUCAAGGGGAGGAAUACAGCCUUUGCCCUUGAACAUACAAUUCAAGUUAGCAUCAGGUUCCCAGAUUUUCUGUGUCAUGGUCAAUUCACCUGCCAGAGGAGCACUGUGGGGGUAUCUGUUUCAUCAGAAUGUGAUAAAGACAGAAAGAGAGGAUUAUACAAAGCACUCAAGACAGAGCCCAAGUAUGAACCACACUAUCCAAAGAAUUCAUUAAACAAGCAGAUAGAUGUGGCAGGUGGACCAACAUGGUCUUCUAACAUUUAAGAUAAAUUUAAUCUUGUUAAAAAAAAUAAACACUGUAUCUAUGCUCAAGGAAAUUUCCUUUUACCUUUAUGUCUAUCCCCACUUUGGGGCAGUGUAGCUGUUAGAGUAAAGGCAAGCAUUCUCAGUGAAGCCAGACUGCAGUUUACUUCAUGUAGCAAAUGAGAAAACCUAACCUCUUAUUGCAAAAAUAGCCGAGCGUCCCCAUAGGCAAUGGGACAGUGGAGGGGGACAUCUUCGAGGAUUGUAAUGGACAGGUAUGCCCUCCACGGCAUGAAACUGAAGAUGCACACAACUGGAUGAGUGAUGACCUCCCAAACCGUCACCAGAACUCCACUGUAGGCUGAGUGCUCUUCCGAACUCUUAAAUAUAUGAACUCAUUUUUAAGUUUACAUGGCUGCAGAAAAUCUGAUUCUAGUAUAUAGAGACCUGCAGUGAGAAAAUCACCUUAAAAAUGAGCAAGACCAUAAGGUUAGUAACGAUUCUGCAAAUUUGUGAUUAAAGGACAAAGUGGAACAGGAAGCAGAUACAGGAAAAGAAUGCAUGAUCACAGGAUCUUUAGGGAGUGUGUUAAUGUUGAUUUCUUUUAAAAAUCUUGUGAACACACAGGAGCUUGGGUAGGAAGGUCAGGGGUAUCCAUAACAAAGCAUGCAGAGGGAGAGAACAUCUGAUCUGUACUUUUCAGAGGCUUGCCCACCUGUGGGAACACCUUUUAGAUAGACAGUGGCUUAGGAACAAUUGUAGGAGUCACUGGGUGAUCUCUGGCCAGAGAGAAAGGCUAUUGGCUGUGAUGAUGAUGAUUCCAUAGGUCUGUAAUAAAUAGUUUUCUUUCCACUUGCUCUCACCCUCACCCCCAGCUGUCAAGAAGAAACUAGUAAUUUGAACAGUUGAGAGAGUUUGCCCAUGAUCCCGGGGGUGAGGAGAACCACAGUUGGAGGUGCCAACAGAAAGGUCACCUGAGAUCUCAGAGAAACAGAGGCAUAUGCACACAGCAAGGAGUUCAGGAAUUGACUUCUGUGGACAAAGACUAACAGGAUCUCAUAAAAAGCGACAUCCCAACUCAAUUCAGGACCCUGGGGAAGAAACUUAUUAACACCUAGGUCAUGCAUGGACCCCAAUUUCUGGAUUUCUACCUGGUGCCUGUGCAUAUAUAAGUAAUUUAGGGGUCUAUUGAAAAUUUCACUGGCAUUCUCUGUGUUAAUUUGAAUAUCAAUCUGUAUGUGUCUGACUGUAUAUUUGAAUAUACAAAUAAAUAUGUGCUAAGGAUCAUAUAUGUAUGCAUUGAAAACUAAGAAAAAUGUGUGCCUAGUAUGCUGAUAAUUCACUUAUAUUUCUUUAAUGUUGUACAUUUUCUGGUGAGUGUGUGUGUGUGUGUGUGUGUGUGUGUGUGUGUGUGUGUGUGUGUACAUGGGUCUAUGGUUGUUUCCUUUAUCAUCCUCUACCUUACUCUUGCUGUGGCUGAUUUGAAACAGAGAAUGUAUAACCUACUUCCACCUUCAAACAUGGGCGACCAUCAAUCUAUGUUCUUCCUAUGCAUUUGACUUUCUCAGACAUUCCAAAACAUAACAGCUUGCACAGACAGGAGUACUCUGCUCUCUGCUACUGCACCAAGGCUGGGUUGUUUGAAAACCAAAAGUAAAAUGUUAAAAAUGAAUUCCUUUGUUCCAAUUGAUUCACAGAUGAAAACAUUGCCCAACUAGUUCAAGGAAACCACUCAAACACUUUCUUUUUAAGAUUAUUGUUAUUGAUUGCUCGAUGGUUUUAUAUAUUCAUAUAAUUUAUUUAGCUCAAACCCAACACAACUUCCCUUCCGUUUGAUCCUCUCAUACCCUGCCACCCCAACUUCCCUUCCUUCUGACUCCUCUUGUACUCCACCACCACCACAGUCACUGCUGGACUUCAUGAGCUCUUUGAAAUGACUGGGUUCUGCUAGUCUGUUCAUGUGUGUAGACUGUGGCAACUUGAACAAAGUCAGUCAGAGUCCAAGGUGGAUGGAGACAGGGCUCACAAAGUCCUUUCCCUAUCUGGGGAUGCAUUAAUAAUGGCUGAUGAGGAGGGAGUGCCAUUCUCUACUUUCUUUUCUUAGAUAAGCUCACUCAAUGAAUCUGACCUCUAAGUUAAACUAGGUUGAGUGGCCAUGAAGUUCUAGGGAUUCACAGAUUUCCUUCCUAGCCCUGGAACUGCAUGUGUGCAUCUGCAUCCCAGACUGUGGGAACUAUAGACCUGAGCUUAGAUUCUCAUGAUUAGACAGCAACCAUUCUUCAGACUAAGACCAACCCCAUCCUCACUGUACUGGGUUUUCACAUUUUUCUUGCUUAUUGAUAAAACUACAGUUGCAAAUCUUGAGAGUGCAUACACCAGGGCUCUCUGGCUGGAUUUAUAAUGUGUCCAUUCACUAUGGCUCAUAGAACUGCAGCCCCAGCUAGUUACUAUUUGGAGUCUUGCUCACUUACUCUAAGAGAUAUUUUAACAGUAAUACUACAGAUAUCUUAAUCACAACUAGAAAGAAUCUAUGAAAGCAAAGCCAGCAAGUCAGCAUGCAAAGCAGGACAUAAGUAACUACGCAAUGAAUAUAUAUCAUGCUAUCAUUUUCCUUUAAGGAAUGAAUCCUCUACACGAAUAGGCUUUCAUCUUGCGAGUGAUGCAAUUGCCACUACAGCUAUUGCACAGUGGGCAGCACAUCUGUGUAAUUUUGAAUUUCUAUGCCAAAGCAACCACAACUAGCAGUGAGUGCACGAUCUCCUGGCCUUUCUAAUCCUCAGUGGGCCCUGGGGGACUUGAGUUCUACAUUUCCUUUCAAACGUCACAAAUGGUUCCCUGCUUGCUUUAUUUUUCUUUCCAGGUAUUUAAAAAUACAGUGUCAUCCCUACCUCAGUGUCAUAGGCAGCAAGCAGAUGAUGUCAACUCAGUACAUCCUGACACGGGUUAUAUAUUUUUUAUUAUGUAUAAAAGCAACUUUCCAACCAAAUCUAGUAUCUCUUGUUGAACGUGCAUUGCUAUUGUCUAGAAGUCACGCAUGCCAACUUCUGUAAAUUGUCCAUUCUUUUGUAUAAACUGGAGUUCAGGGAGAAAUAAAUAAAAACAUAGGCUCUAAUGUACAUGUGUAUGCAUGUGUGUAUAUAGGUAUGUGUAAGUCAAGAAACUCCAGACAGUAUACUCUGAAGAUUACAGUCCCACAGCCAAUGAGAGUAGAAGACCCUUAGUCUACUUUAACUGUAAUUCUACUCAUACAUCAUGUUACUACUAAUGGGUAGCCCAUUCUCUAAUGCAUCUUGUUUUAAUGAACUAUAUAGUUAUUUUCACCAAUGAUUUUAUAUUAAGUAUGAUAGAACUGUGAACUUUGAGCUCUGCACAAUUUUAUUUUACAGGAGUGUUGAUGUCAGGAUCCUGCCUUUUAUCACUUUCCUUCUCCUUUUUUUAUUUUUAUAUAGAGAUCUCCAAAUCCUUCCCUGAAUUCCUCUUGAACUCAGAUCCAGUGUGACCUUGUAUAAAAUAUUUGAUGUCAAAUAAUGAAGAAGUGCCUCACUUAGAUCUAACGCCACAUUUCUUAUUAGCCAGUUAACAGCAGCCACUUCCCCUUCAGUCCUGAGGUCUAGCCUGUAGCACAGAAGAUAUUUUGCAGUGUAUAUCCCAUUGACUUAGUCACCAGUUUAUAGAGUGACCCCUGUUAGAAUGUUUUUCCCCCAUGGUGUGGGAAAAACUGGAGGAGCUUCAAAACUUGAUUUUAUCAACACUUCAACUAUUAAUAUUCUAGCUUUACAAUUAAUAUUUAAUAUUUUAGAUAACUUGAGCAUUCAGAUAUAUGAAUGCUUUCAGCCCUAAGACUCUUUAUAACACUGUAAGAAGGAGUCUCAGUUAACCUUAAAUGGCUUAAAAAGGAUACUAAUCCCAAUACUCUGGUGAUGGUCCUCUAUUGAGUCUAUUGUCAAUAACUUAAUUAGCACUUUAAACACAUGUUUAUGUAUAUGUUACUACUGUCUGCAGUGUAAGAAUUUUAUAGCGUAUUUUAUAAUCUUCAACAUCUUUUUAUUAUCACCUUUAUAAAUUACAAUGGAAUGGAAAAUUAAACAAAGUCCUGUGGCUAUCUAGAUGCCUUCCUGUGUGUGAGCAUGUGUUCAGGGCAUAUUGAGUCCCUUGCUUCCCUGUAGAGGCAACUGUUACUAUGUUGUUUGAAUAAUCAUGUGUAUUUACUAGUAAAAAAUAGCUUAUUUUCAAACUAUCAAAUCUGACUUUUUAAGGGACUAUUAUUUGUAAAGUCUAGACACAAACCUGCAGAUAGUCUCAUAUACAUGCACUGUCUGUCCUUUGUUGCUCUGGUUUCUGCUCACAGCUGAGACACCGGAGUUGACACAGUUACAUAAUAAUUAUGAGCUUUUGGAAAAUUUGCAAUAAGAAUUUUAAUGCCUGGCUUACUUAUAUCAUGACUCAUUAUAAACCUACAUUGCAAAGGCAUUUUUAUAAGUGGAAUCCACAGACCUCUGCGUGUGUAGACACAUAACCGUGUUUAAGGAGAAUGGCUUGGCAAUAUCUUGGUCUACGCUUAGAGUGAACGAGUCCAGAAGCUCCUCCACUCAACAGUGAUUGACUCAUGCCUCUGAUUUUCUCAGACACUCCAAGCCAGGAGUUAUAAUUUUAGUCUGAGCAGAUGUUUGCAUUCUCUUACUGCACUGCUCUAUUAGGGAAGUGUCUACUUUUAACAGGUAUGAAGUGAGCAGUCAGUAUACAUAGAAUAGAUUUUCUAGCCCCAUAGCCACUUCUAAAAUGAUUGACGUGCUCUGUCUCCUUAAUAUCCAAUAUCUGGCAGUGCUGUAGCCUGUGAAAGCACCUCGGUCAAUGUUGUCGGGAAUGUGCUUUCAGAAGGGGAAGUUUGGAUGGGUUUUGCUUGAAAGUGCCUCAGAAUGAUCUCUUGGUUAAAAAUGAUAGAAAAUCACGUUCAGGCAUCCUCGUAGGUGAGUUCAUAAUUAUGGGAGAUGGAGAGUUACCAUACUAGUCUCAGAAUAGCUUCUCAGAAUGGGGACAGGGCUACAAAGAGGAAAGGACUUCUGCCAUCAGCCCAUCCCACUGGUAAUUGCAAGAAGAUGAGAAUAUAGAGACAGUGCAAUGUCACGAAGGAAUGAUGAUGGGUCCCUACCCACCACAGAUUAAUUUUUGGUAAAAAACAACUUUCUGAACACUCUCUUUUCCUGGUAUGGUUGCUGCCAACAAAAUGAACCAGAAUUAAGUGUGAGUCACUGUGGUGGUUUAAAUGAGAAAGUCUUCUAUAUCUGAAUACUUGGUCCCAGUUGGUGGGACUACUAAGGAAAGAUUAGUAAGUGUCGCCUUGAUGGAGGAGGAGUGUCAGUGGAGGAGAGGCUUUAAGUUUCAAAAGAGCAGUGUCUUUCUCAGAUCUCUCUCUCUCUCUCUCUCUCUCUCUCUCUCUCUCUCUCUCUCUCUGUAUUUGUGUAUCUAGCUAGCUAGCUCUUGCUGUGUACUGCCAUGCUCCCUGUCAUGAUGGUUAUGGAUUAACUUUCAGAAACUGUAAGCCCCUAUAAACUCUUUAUUUUGUAAGUUCCCUUGAUCAUGGUAUCUCUGAACAGCAAUAGAAAAGUAACUCAGGCAGUCACCAAGAUAGGAACCAUGGCUUUAAGGAUUUGAGCCCCGUGUAAGCAGGCAUAUGAGAGAACCAAGUGUUUUGCGUGAAGAGCAGAGAAAACUCUCUGUGAACCCCAACAAGAACCCCCACUCAACACCGAGACAUACUUUUUUAUGUUUCCUUUCGAAUUUGGGAGACAACAAGGGUGUAAGAUUCACCAUCACUCUGAGAUGGCUUAUCAGCCCUCAGCCAUGGCUAAUCUCCACAAGGCAGGCAGGCUUUAUUCCAGCGCAUCCCUCCACAGGAGUAUGGAAUGCCUUCUCCACCUCAUAGAGGAACACUUGUCUCUUUACUGCCUUUUAACUGUUUGAAUGAAGGGCCACUCUCAGUGUGCACAGCUGCCACCUCUCAUAUAACAGGGCCUCCUAAUGAACAGGGGUGAGAAUCUGAGUUCUUAUAAUUAAAACACAUCUGCGUCCUGCAUAGGAAUGUGACUUUGUCAUCUGGUCAACCUGUUUGUGGUGCUUCAGGGGGUCUUUCCUCUAGGUUUUACCCAUGAUCUAGUAUGUAUACCCACAACCUUUUCACAUGUGGUCAUUAUAUCUGGCUAAUUUCUAUGUCAGGAACCCAGCGAAUUAAAAUGAGGUUGCUCGUAGAGAAUCAAGUGAAACUGUCAUAACCUGAUAUUUCAUGCCCGCCAUGGCUGAAGACAUUGUGAAUUAAGAAACACAGGUUUCCAGAAGUGUCUAGUGCUUUGCACCAUCCUCAGCAAUUCACCUUCAUAAACAAACAUAUACAAUGAUAACUAUUUUGCUUGAUUGUUUCAUGCCCAUUGCAUGAAAAUAAGUAUUGCUUAUUUAUUCUUACUCCGUAAAAGCAAAAGGGAGGAGUCAUCUUGGUGCAGUUUUUCACAGGUAAACCAGUUUGAACAUGUUUCCCUCCAUGUCUUUAUGUCCAGGGAUCUCUGCCACUAGUCCCACUCAAAUGACUUUUAAUCUCUGAUGGAAAUAUUUUAUUGGCAUAAAAGAAACUUAGAAUAUCUGUGUUGUCACGAACGGCUUUUAUUAAGAGAGCAAAACAAUAACAACAGAAGAUACCAUAUAAACUUAAUUUCCAAACAUCCUCUCUCUGAACUAAAUUUUCUCAAAUGUUGUCACUCAUACUCAGAAUGCACUAAAGGAUAUUUCAAUGGUCGAAAGCACCGCUGUUCCUUGUAGAGAACCCAGGUUCUGUCCACAGCGCCCACAGGGCAGCUCAUAAGCACCUCUAACUCCAGUUGCAAGGGAUCCAGCACCAUCUUCUGGCCAUUUUGAAGACUGCAUGCAAAUGGUGCUUCAACAUCCAUGUAGGCAAAACACAUACACAUAAAAUCAAUGUUAAUUUCAUAUAUAUAUACAUAUAUAUAUAUAUACAUACAUAUGUAUAUACACACACAUAUAUGUAUACAUAUAUAUGGGAUUAUAGGAGUUAGUUCUGCAGUUUCUUCCACCUGGGGUCAACAAAGGCUUGUUUUCAUCAAAUUUGUCCUCCCUCAGUUUUUCUCUCUAUUUCCUAAUAUUUAUGGAGUUCUGAUAUUAAAGUCUAUAUCCCUUCUCUGAACACUUUAGAUAUAAUAAUUACUUUAGAUAUAUAUAAUUACUGGUUUGUAAUAAUGGUGAUUAAAUGCAGUACAAGGACACAGGCACAGCUAGGAUGGUGGGACCAGCGAGGAGACCAUUUUGUAGCAAAGAAGCAGCAUUUGUCACUGAAACAAAUUCCUGCCUAGCAAAAGGCUAUUUUUCAAUAUUUGUUUCCAAGAAGAGCAGGGAGGCCACAGCUGCGGGAGUGAGGGUGGGGCCAUCCAUUGUAUCAUGUCCUUCUGGGCGACAUCUGUUGUGUAGAAGUAGCUAAGAUAGGACUUUAAGGGCUGUUAGCCAGACAGGCAGCAGAAGUAGCUUAACCUGAUGCCUGGCAGACAGCCAGUGAACUUCCCAGGACCGGCUCAGAAUGUGCAUUCCCAGAGAUGAGCGAUAGAGGGCGCCUCUGAAUCUUGGUGGCAGCGUGAUGCUUAGUUGCAGGAUUGGACAAAACCACCUGGCCACAUUUAUUGAAGAACAACAUCCCCGUUGCCCAAAUGGAAAAAAAAAAUGGAACAGUACGAGAAGCAGAAAGUAAUGCUAUUCAGGCAAGGAAACCUUUUUGAAAAGCAGCCAUAACUUAUUAGAAAAACUGGAUAGUAAAUUGCACCCAGUUCACCCCUUGGUAACCCCUAGGCUAAUUCCUGGAUCGGGGUUCUCACCUAACAGGUGCAUCAGAGUAAAUGCAGAAGGAGGUCUUGUCCUAGUAACUGCACCAGGCUAUAGACUCCAUGCUGGGGCAGCUUAGCCUUGAGUCAUGGCUGGCAACAGGCUGAGAGCUCGCUGUGACUCACAGGAUCAAGCGUGAAGAGAGAAAGCAAACUGAAGCAUUUCUCAGCCGAGUAUUGAUUGUGCUGGGUGCUAUUUUAAUCCUUCUCAGUUCCUCGGUCUGAAGGCUGCUGUGUCCUUCAGUGUGUCAGUCUGUUUGGGACUUCAGUAGAAGAUGGCAUGGGUACUCCUAGCGGGCAUACCCUAGAGUGAGGUGUCCUCGUUGUCAACAGCGGGCUCAUGCUUCCGGCAGAUUGCUAUCUCAUUCAGAGACCUGUUACCUUGCAAAAAGGGCAACACAGGGCUAAGGGCCAGAAGAGGGAGACAUAGGUCGUCGGCGUUGGCUUUAAGAGUUGAAACAGUCACAGAAGCAUUAUGUGGAUGCCCAUGUGUCAGAUUCAGUUCAAUACUCAGAGAUUUAUGUGACAUCAUCUCAAAGACUCUGGAUAAAGGAAAAGUCAAGAUUCCAGAGCUCAGGGACCAAAGAUAUUACAGUGGACCCCUUAAGUCUACAGCGGACAUUUGGUUUGUUAAGGUUUGGCAUUAUAAAGGUCCUACUUGACCUUUUCUCUAAUGCGAAGGCUCUGGUUCCUGCUUUUCCUUAAAGGUAACAUCACAGUUAGAAAAGAACCUGAGUACAGAAAACAAGCCAGGAGGCCAUGUAAUAUUCUUAUUUUAAAAUAUUUAGAUAAAUGAGUGUCUUUAUUCGGAAAAGACUAUUUGGGAUAUUUGAGAAAUGAAAAAUAAAUUAUUUUACAACUAUUUUAUUUAGAAACUUGAGGGAAAUUGGCCACAUUUCAAGAUUUGCUGUUCAUUCCUGGCAAAGUGACAGGGCUGUGGAAAGAGACUCCAAGAGAAUUCUCUGAGAGUGGUCAGUUGUUAGGUACAGACCCAUAGCAUUCCAAAGUGUUAGUGGGGUGUGGGGUACACCUGCCAGAUAGGAAAAUGGUGGAAGCUAAAGGUUUGCUUUGUGCUAUGCUCAGGAAAAGUCUCUGUCCUCAGUUGUGUAUUUACCUUUUUGGAAUAAGGGCGUUUUGUAAAAGGGAUUUUUAAAAGCCCCAAUUUGCCGAUUUUUAAAGAGCAUAUACAUCCCUAGAUCGCUCUAAUAUGACAUUAGCUUAUGGCAAUUCUGGGUCUGGUAUCUCUUUUAAACUUGGGAUGAAGGGACAGGGCAUGGCUCAGUUGGAAAAGUCCAAGGACCUGAGAUUAAUCCCCAGAACACACAUAAAAGCCAGACACUAUAAUGGAGGGAUUUGUGAACUGGCAGAGCUCCUGUCUCAGAUGAGGUGGAAGGGGGAAGGGGCUGUCUGCUUGAAGUUGUCCUCUGACCUUCACACAUAGUAGGCAUGUGAGGGCAACUGUGUCCCUCCCACAAGUCCUUAUGUUUUUUUUUUUUAAUACACAGAAUGGUAGGUUAUUUCUUUAAAUGAGAGUAGAAAUAGCGUUGUGCUCUGAAUAUUAACCCCUGUCAUGAUUCCCUCAGCAGAAAGAUGUCUCAAGGACAUGUACCGCUUCUGAAACACAUGGGUACCCUCAUACUCUUUUCCCUUGGUGUUUCCAGGACUCUGCCCAGGCUUUAGAGAAAUGGCUCUCUGCCGCUUUUGCAAAUUACUGGUCUAUGGCAAUCAAUCCAAAGACAGUAAACAGGCCCUUCAUACAGCUGUGCUGAUCAAAAUCCUCAACGGUGUCUCUAGGGAGAGGGAUGGCCUCUCUCUGCACAAGUUACAGCUGAAUGACACAUUUGCAACUUCUUCAUGUGAGUCCAAACUGGAUGUCACUGAUCUCAGUUCUCUUCUCUGUUUGUGCAAAAAUGGGAGUCCUUUGUGAGUCAGGCUAACAACUCCUGAGUGAAUUUGCAAAAUUGUAAAAUUUGAGCUGGGGCAACAAAUGUUUUCCAGCUGUUUUCACCUGUCACAGUCACUGCAUACGAUGUCACUCCAGAACCUGCAAAGGUAUCUAUUGUUCAAGAACAACAAUAGCUGUGACACGAGAAGAUACCGUGUUUUGUUUGGGUGGCAUAGAGGACAAAAGUGAGGUGAUCCAGAAGGCAGGCAUGGUCUUAGGUGGGUAAGUGGGUAGAGAAAUGGAUUGACGAAGUCAGUUAGAUUGGUAUCUUGAGCGUCCAUUAAAAUACAGUUUUCAAAGUUAGGGUAUGGGUGGGUGGUAAGAACAUUGGCAGCAACUGCAGAGGACCCAGGUUCAAUUCUCAGCAACCACAUGCUGCUCACAACCAUCUAGUUCCAUGGGCUGUGUCAUUCCAUUCUGGUCUCCUUGGACAUCCAAACAAGGGUGGAGUGAAAGGUUCAUACACAUAAAACAACAUAAAAAUUAAAUUAAAAUGUAUAUCUUAAAUUAGUAUGUAUAUGCUACAGAAUUAUUCUCUCUCUCUCUCUCUCUCUCUCUCUCUCUCUCACACACACACACACACACACAUACACACACUUAAGUUUGAGAUCAUUGGUGAGGGUGGGCUUGGGCAUAACUGUAAUAAUAGGAGAGCAGAUUGCUUCAUACUUUUGAAGUGUUUAUUAAAUCGUGGCUUUGGUGAACUCCAUCUUUCCUUAGGGGCCCACUUAGAUGCAUCCCACCUUGUCUAAGCAGGUUUGACUGUAUCUGUUCACUCUUCCUUCCCAGCUCCUCUGUGGUAUCCACUGACAGUCACCUUGCUCCUGGGCAUGUCUGCCUUCCCUUUGGGCAUCCGGAUACCAGGCAUUUUACCAUUCACUUUCCAUUUUUAUUUUUUAUGUAAGUUUUGCCCAACACAGCGCCUUAGACAAGGUACUGUUCGGUGACUAUCUGACGAGGAUACACAAAUCUCCUCUCGCUCAUCAAACAAUUAGCUGGCUGUUUCCGUCUCUUGUGUCACUGGGUUGGUUUUGGGUGGAAAACAUGAGGGUCUGUGGUGCUUAACACUUCCUUUUCUCUCUCUUUGUGUCAAGUCAGAAAACCCACAGUGACAUAGCUGGACCCCAGCUCACACUGGGCAGUGUUUCCUUUGCAAGUUUAGAUCCAUGGGCUGUUGUUACAACAAUGAGUAAGUUCUGGAGGCUGCUUCAAGUCUGGUGCUUGUCUUUUCAAGAGAGGAAGGUAGCACCACUUUUUGAAAGGAUUAUGGGUCCUGUUCAGUUACAAAUGUCCCAAGCAAUAGGAGGCUUAGUGGAGCCUGGCAUAUGCCUGUAUGAUUUUUGUGAGUAUGGACUCCUGAGCAGUAGUGAACAUAUGCACAUCCCUUAGCUUGUAGUCAGUACAGGGGUCCAUGUUAGCAAGCUAGUUGGAUCAGAAGAGGCUUACAGUAAGAAAGCCUGCCAGGGUGAGGACACCUUCAAGUUCACCUUACCUUCAAGUAGAAGACUUAGAACAGCCCAUCCACCUUGUCUCCUUUUCUGUAGAUUUCAUGGUAGUCACAGACUGCAUUUCCCUGCGUUCUAUUUUAAGCCUUAUCCUAUAGCUCCAUUGGUUUUUAAGUCCUUCAUCUUCUUGUAAUUUCUUUAUGUAAAAGAAAUAGUCUAUGUUCUCAUGUCUACAUUUGGCUAGAGAAAAAUAAUGAUACAUAUUUAAAACAGCAAAAUUGUAGAGAGUCAUCGUAAAAUGUUAAAAAUUCUUACUAAAUGAGGUUUGUCCUACAGUGUAGAAUAAAAAAAAAUUAAAGUUAAUUCAUUUGUUUUCUAGUUAUUUCUGUUUGGAAAGCAUCACUAUGAAUUUAGCAUCUUGUAGACACAAAUGACUGCAAUGUUUUCUGCAGGCUGUGUCCCCACAUGUUUCUAAGGCAUGAUGGUGAACCUAGUUACAGGGGAAGCUGAACCUGAAACACAGAUACCCAGUUAUCAAGACAAAUGCUUGCCUUACAAGCAUCAUUAUUGCCUUACAAGAAAAGUAAAUCUGGAGAACUAAAUGAAUGAAAUGGAAAACUGUCAGAGAAAUCCUCCAUAAAGAAAUUGGACCAAAGAGAACUGAGCUCCUCUGGGAGAAGAGUGGGAUCAGGCGGUCACUUGCUCUGUCUCUCACCGUCCCCUGGACUUGGGUCCUCGGUAACUGAACCACACUAAACUAGUUUUAAGUUGCCAUUGUGUACAGGAUUUGAAGGCCUGUUAGAUAUGAUGACGCUCUUACAGCAAGAAACACGGGUAAAAUUUGAGCCAAUGGAUGAGUACAAAGCCACAUCCCACCCAGUUCUAACUGUUGAUGUCACCCUUUCUUUGGUAGGAAUCCCCUUUAUUCUUCUGCUUCCUGUAUCCAUUCAUCGCCACGAAGUAUGAGACAUGAUGGUAUCACAUUAGAAAACCCUGAGAAUGGCCCUGGAGAUUAGAAUACCAUUUCUGUACUUUCAACACAAUUCUACUGAAGAUCUGGAUAAAAGUCAAUUAAAAAGCACAAAGUGAACCUAAAAUUCAAGAGGCAGAAAAAAAAUCUUUUUGAGUGAGUUUUUAGUCAGUUUAGAAAUUGCCCACGAGGCUGGUACACCAGGGACACACUCCUUUAUGGCCAGCCCUCCUGCUGCUAUUUCUAGAUCAAGACGACACUCUUCUGUUCUGCCCUGGUGUGUGCAGACGCCAUAGAUGAUGAGUAAAUAGGUAGGCGUGUCUGGCAUACAGGGAAAGUGCAUUUGUGGACACUGAAGCUUAAGUUCAUGGAUGUACUUUCUUUCACGUGCAGCAUGGUUUGAUCUGAUUCCUUUUGACGAUCACCGCGAUUGGAAUUGGGGUAUGUUAGGCAAACGCUCUAUGCUUUUUAGCUGGGAUUUUGAAAAGUUGUCAGGGUGGGCCUUGAACUUUGAUUCUCGCUCUGUCUCUCAUGUGCCUGGGAUUGAGAACUCUCAGGCUCUGAUCAAGUCUAUUACUUUCUCCAUUUUCAAAAAUACUUUGCUGGGGAACUCCUGUCAUUUCUUCCUCCUUCAAUGCAAGACUGGUUGCAAGGUUUAUUUUGACCCACGUGCUAAGUGUGAUGUCAUUGUAGGAUACACCCAUAGAGAGCAAACCUUAACAGCCACACCCUCCCCUCAGCCUAGAUAGACUUUCUCAUGGCUUCUUGGAGCUGUGCCACCCAUUCUGUCCUAUGGAGCUCACAAAUCCCCUUUAUCUCUUGGUAAAUAUUGUUGAAAUUUCCUCAAGAGUAUUUAAAGGUCAGACAGCACCUGCCGUGUGCCACAGCGUGCUUCCUUCUUGAGAACUCACGGAUUCGUUGCCUGCCAGAUAAUUUUAUGUCCUUAGUUCUUCUGUGUGUCAGCUAGGCAUGCUCUCCUCCUGAAUGCACUUUUAAGUAUCUUUCUGUUUGUUUCUUUGACUCUAGGAUGUUUUACCACACUUUGUCUUGAAUUGUGUGGCUGCUGUAUAAUGAAUAUCUCAGACAUCAUUCCUUUUGUUUGUUUGUUUGAAUUUUAAAAUUAAAUUAUUUUAUUCAUUUACAUGCAGCUCCUACUUUCUGCCCACCUCUUCGAGUGAGUUCUUCACCCAUCCUCAUAGAACCCCCCACCUUUGAGAUGCUGCUCUCCCACCUGCCCACCUACCCCCACCUCACCCCUACCAGCAUCCCUCUUCCCUGGGGCAUCAAGUUUCCAUAGGAUUGAGCACAUCCUCUUUCACUGAGGCUAUACAAGGUGGUCCUCAUCUAUUCAUGUGCCCAGGGCCAAGAAUCAGCCCAUGUAUGCUCCUUAGUUUUGGACAUAGUUUCUGGGAGCUCUGAGGGGUCAAGUUUAGUUGAUACUGUUGUCCUUCUUCUAGGGUUGUAAACUCCUUCAAAUCCUUCAGUCCUUAUUCUAACUCAUCUAUAUUGGUCUCUAACCUCAAUCCAAAGGUUGGCUGAAAUUAUCUGCAGUUGUCUCAGUCAGUUGCUAAUAGAGACUCUCAGAGGACAGCCAUGCCAGGCUCCUGUCGGAUGUCAUUUUUACUAUAGGGAUUCCUUCCUGCCAAUCAGCUUGAUGGAAGAAUGAAGAAUUUCACUUAGAUGCCCAAGAAUAAUUUCAAGUAAGCAUGCCCUAGAGCAUCACAUCUGAAAUCAACACCAGCUUUCAUGCAGAAUGGGGCAAUCCCCUUUGGGUUUCUUUUGUGGAAUGCUCUACAAGAUGUGACCAAAGCAAGCAGAUGAGAAAGGGAUCUUGAGUCUGCAUCUUAAAUGCUUUGAUGAACUGGACAGAGGUGGAGAAUGAGUGAAUGUUGGUAAAGAACAGGUGAGGGUUUUAAUGAGCUUUUGGGAAAAUGAAAGGCAAAGAGGGAAUCUCCAUUGAGAAUGAGACAGAAGAAAUCUGGGAGCAAGAGCAGAUGGACAGGAUUGCUCUCCAAUGCAGGAUGCUUUUGAAUAGGCCACGGAAGACACACACACUGCACUGACUUGGCUAGCCAAAAAGCACAUCUGUGCAUGCAUGGAUCAGGGGCUCUCUGUUCUUAGUGAGCUUCUUAUGCCCUGCAGACCCAGUCCCCAUGGUGAGAGCAAUGCCUUUAGUAGUAUUCACUUUGCUUUCAUAGCUUAUAAAGGUACCUUUAUUGACAAUGUUUACAAGUCAAUGAAUAUUUAAAUUAGGUACUGAGCCAAAAAGUAUGCUAUGAGAGAUACCCAGAUUGUCCUUGGAUGGUCUGGUCCCUGUUCCCACAUAUUCCCACAACAGUUUUGAAAAUACAGGGUAGAAAAUACUGCCUGGUUGUGCUAGCCAGACUGCAUGUGAGAAGUGCAUAUUAAUCUCAUGGUUCUACUGGUAGAGAAAAGAUCAGACAAGAUGGCAAAGAUCAGGUCUCUUGCCCUAAGGAUGCCUAGUGUUCAUUCACAGAUGGGAUCAGUCAGUGCUGGCAGCCCCACAUUCUUCAGGUUUACUGCAUCUGUCUGUGGUCGGUGACCUUUCUAAUGUGCAAGGUUGAACUAUGGUUUUUCUCCAGGCAGGAGAAAAGGUGUUUCCUGUGACCUCAUCCACUCUCCCAGAGAAUUAACUCCAGCCAAUGGCAGAGCCUCAGCAUACAAAAGCAGGUAGAUGCUUCUAGGAGAAUGGAAAGUAGAAAUCAGAACAUGUGCUCUAGUCUCAAGGUGCUUCUCUGGAGCACCCUUGGAGGCAGCUUGAUUUAUCUUCAGGGACAUUUGAGCACCAACCUUGUAGCCACAUGAAUGCAUCUCAGACCACACAUUUAGGAAGCCAGAAAGAAAAUCCACAGUUAUCACCUUGGCAUAAAUGUAUGCAAGUUACUGUCAACCUACUGUGCUGAUCUAUAUACUGCUAUCCACUAGCAGGCAGUAAGACAAAGUAUAUACACUGAGAAAAGGUAUACAGUGACAGAGAAAAACUGCUUGAAGCAGUACUGAACCAAUGAUAUCAGAACAGUGCCCUAUUCUGAACUGGACUUCCAAGUGUCUGCAAGCAUUUGAAGAGCUAUGGUCUUCAACCAGGCCAAAAGUUUCACCUUUACCAAAUGUCUUAAGACAUGGAUAUAAAGAAAUAAAGAGAUGAACAGUUGUUAGUAAGCCAUCCCUGUCUUCCCAGCCUCAGAAAGCUUGGAUGGAAGGGUUCCUCUUUGGGAAAAUGAGGUCUGAAUUCAUGGUCAGCGUGAGGUACAUACACUAUAUACUGAUAACUAUUAGGAAGAAAAGUAAACUAUUUUUCAGAAAGCCAGAGGUCUGGUCUGAUUUAUAAAACUGUAUUAUCCUAAAACCCAUCAUAUAUAUAUCCUCUAUGUCAGAAACACAACACAAGCAUUUUAAUGAUAAUAUCAAAUUGAAUAAUUAUAUCUAAUAAUAAAGAAUAGUAUCUAAGGCAAACAUUCACCUUUUUUCUGUUUUAUAAUUUUGCCUAUAAUUUUUGCCUAGUCUCCAAAAAGCAAUUUUUUUUACUUGCCCACAUUCUUGUCCAAUCACAGUCUGUAAAUUUUUCAUGCCUCCAAAUGACUUUUCUAGUGCCAGUAUUUAACAAAAUUACUAAGAUAUUUAUAUAAGGACUUCAUUUUCUAUCGUUGGAGCUUGUCCUCUGAAAAUGUCUCAGUCUGUAAGUACCUUAUGUAAGUUAUCACUAUGCCAUCUAUAGAUAUGGAUUUGCUCAACUGUUUCUAUAUUUUUCUGAGAAUAGCUAUAAUUAAAGAGGUUUCUAUGCAACGUCACAUAGCCAAGUUUUUCAGCUAUUAUUAUUUCAGACCUAAAGUAGCAUGUUCCUAAAACACAGUCCUGCCAUGAAUAUCUUAUGUAUCAUUGAUUGAUCAGUAAUGUAUUACAACUAUCUUUACAACAUGUAUCUAUAUGCCUUUAUAGUUAUUAAAGUAUGUUUACAUACUCAUACUAUGUCCAUCAAUGAGCCUGAAGACUCACAUUUGUUGAUGCCAUAUGUGAUUAAUGGAAUUGAUCCAUCUACCAUUCCAAUCAUGCCCCAACACACUUAGUAGGUAGACUAAGGUGCUGCUCUGUUUCCCACUUAUACACAUCAAGUAAGUCCAGGCACGUAUUUACUGAUUUUAAUACAAGAGGAGAAUUCAACAUUAAUUUUUCUAAAGAAGUGAAAAAACAUGGAAAGGAUUUUUGUCUUUCCCUGUUGGAAAAACCUUGUUUUAUUUACUUUAGGCGUCCUGCUGACUGAUGGGCCGUGAAAGUGAGGCCUCCAUCUCAGAGGAACCAGCUUUUCUUUUGCUGUGUUCUGCAAUCCUAAGCUGAACUGUGUCUUUCCACCUUAACAUUAAUCUUUAGAAUGUCCCUUCAGAAAUAUUCCUUCAGAAACAUGAAGGAUUAGCAGAAGGAGACACUUGCUGCUCCAGGAAUGGGUAGAGCUCCGUGAAGCUUUCCCCACUUUUUCUGAAUUCCACCUUCCCAAGGAUUAGUAGAUCUGUAUUUUGAUUGGUAGCCUUUAGAUCAUUGUAGUCGAGAAGCUGCUUGAACUUAGUCAAUACCUGGGAACUUAGUGAAAGUUCCUAGAGUCUAUUACAGAGAUCUGAAUAGUUAUAAAGAAGAUUCAGAGGUUAUCUGCAGAGGUUCCCCAACCCAACCAAAACACAGGAAUUUCUGGUAUCCAAUUUCCUAUUACUAGGAUCAAACACACAGAAGAACUUAAAGAUGCACACAGGGACCAAGGAAUUGUAAUUCCAGCAUUCUGGAUAUUGAGACCCAAGGAAGUAAAUAAUAACUAAAAGGCAGUUCAGACACUUUGUCUUUUUCAUAGUGUUCUGCCAUUUUCCUUAAUAAUAACAUUAAUAUGGGACUC